AUGGAACCACCAAUGUCUUCCUCGAUCCUUCCGGCGGAUCUCCUGCUCGAGAUCUCGGCGCGCUCUGACCCGGUCACCCUCGUGCGCUGCGCCGCCACAUGCAAGGUUCUUCGACGCCAGAUCGCCGACCCGGCUUUCCUCUCUCAGCUCCGCCUCCGAAACGCCGACUGGUUCGUGCCCACGCUGUUCCGUGGCUUGUUCAUCCAGAACCUGCGCGAGGCGGAGGGCGAGCACCCGCGGUUCGUCGUCCCCGGCCACUCCAAGGAGCCGUCCCCCGAGCCGUUGCGCUCCUUUCUGUCCAAGUACACCACCCUCUUCGAGUUCUACCACCCCGUCUUGGCAGCGCGGCACGGCCUCGUCGCCCUCCGCUGCGACACCACCCCCGAGUCUCAACCGGCUGGCGCGUGUGUGUUCAACCCUAUGACGGGCUACAUCCACUUCUUUGGGCCACCUGGGAUCAAAGCCCAGUCGUUCGUCCUGCUCACCGGCGAUGGCGGCGGGGACGGCCCCUACCGCCUGCUCGCCGCGGAGUUGUCUCCAGGUCACCUAAAGACCCAGGCCUUCUCGCCAGCCGAGCACCCCAGGCUGUGGCAAGUCAUCGCCGAGACUGCGGUCGCUCCGUGCCCUCAGGACGCCGCGCUCCUGCACCCUCCAAUCGUUCUCCAAGGCGACACCCACUGGCUGUGCAGGUCGGUCGAGUACCACUUCGUCCUGAAGUUCUCACACGCGCAGCUCCAGGCGUCCGUCACUAAGAUCGACGGUCACUGCGGCGAGGUACUACGUGGGCGCGGACCCGAGGAACUCCUCCUGGUGUCCGACGGCCACGCGAGGCAGCCAGGACUGCUCGUCGCCACCGGGCUAGACAUAUCACUAUGGACGUUGUCUGGCUCCCGCGAGGGCGGAGCCUGGUCCAAGCAGGUCCUGGUCCAGCCGGAGAGCAUUCGACGGCCUGGGCAGUGGAGCGAGCAGCUGGAGCUGCGGUGGUUUGGCGAGACAAGCGGCUACGUCUUUGUGCGGAUGUCGGGAGCGGAGGGGGCCUCACAGUCGUGGUACUUCAUGCUCGAGCUGGCGGCCAGGAGGGCCCGCGGGGUUUGCAAGAUCCCGCCCAGGGACGUGCUCGUCUUCUUCCCCUACGAGAUGGAUAUCUCCUAUUGGCGGCCAAACUUCACUCGUCGACUACACUACUAA
rnacentral:rRNA from 1 species